AAACAUGUCUGUGUGAAUUAAUUAUAAAGUCUAGCCUGCCCACUGGUUUUCUGAAGGGCUGCGGUAAUUUGACCGUGCGAAGGUAGCAUAAUCAGUAGUCUUUUAAUUGAAGGCUUGAAUGAACGGUUGGACGAGGGAUAAGCUGUCUCUUUUGUGUAAAUUGAAUUUAACUUUUAAGUGAAAAGGCUUAAAUUAUUUAGAGGGACGAUAAGACCCUAUAAAACUUAACAUAAGUUUUGUUUUAUUUAUAAUUUUAGUGUAAAAUGGUUUUACUAAGUUUAUGUUUCGUUGGGGAGAUGAAGAUAUAAAGAGUAACUGUCUUUUGAAUAGAAUAAUUAUAAUUAGUUUUUGAUCCUUCUUUGGGGAUUAAGAGAAUAAGUUACUUUAGGGAUAACAGCGUGAUUUUUCUUGAGAGUUCUUAUCGACAGAAUUAGUUGCGACCUCGAUGUUGAAUUAAAAUUUUUAGCUAGGUGUAGCCGUUUAGCUGGUAGGUCUGUUCGACCUUUAAAAAUUUACAUGAUUUGAGUUCAAACCGGU
rnacentral:rRNA from 1 species